AUCUGAUUCUGAUGCUCAAGCACCUGGAGUGGGAAUUGAACCUGCAAGUUUCAGAUUCAGGGUUAAAGAAUUUCAAAGGUUCGCCACCUUCAGAAAGAAGAAGGCCCACCUCACCUUCAUCUUACCUGGUGCCUUCUUAUCCUGAAGAUAACCCACUAAAUCUUGAUUCCACAAAGAGAGGAAUGGAAUUUUACAUCAACCAGCAGAUGGAACCUGAAAGGUAAACCAAUCUCCUCUUCGGCAGAUCAAGAGACUGCAGAUGCUGGAAUCUGGAGCAAAAAAACUUCUGGAGAGGAACUCAG